rnacentral:tRNA from 1 species
GGCACGAUGGUGCAGUGGGUAGCACUGUCGCCUCACAGCCGGAAGGUCCUGGGUUCAAAUCCGGCCUGGGCGU